CUACUAUAAUAAAGCAAAGUGAUUUUUGCUUAGGUGUCAACACCACAAGCAAUUCCUUUACUCUCUUUCCUACUUGGCAACUUUUGCCUUCAUCUACAUCUACAUGUCAAUUCCUGCUUUUUUUUCUUUUUUUUUUAUAAACCUAAUAAAGCUUUUGGGCGGCCAAACGAAUUUUUGGGCGGCAGAUCUCUGCAUUCAAUUUUUGAAUUCCUUUGCUCAUCCAAGACACCCAUUACCCUAUUUUCUCACUAUCAACUUUAGUUUCGUUCACUAUUCUCUCUUCUUCAUCUUCUGCCAGAGAAACCCUAAAAUUAUUGACGGCAAAAUUAGUCAGAUCUUGAAGGAUUUUCGACCUGAAAUCCCAUCAUUCUUUGGAAACUGAAGCACCGAAUGCAUCAUAACAUCAAAGUUGUUGAUUUGAAGGCAAUCACUCUCUAUCUGGCUCAUGAAAAUAAGACUUGGUGGAAGAUCUGGGUUGCGUUUUUGUGUCUUGAUAUGGUGGAGGAAGAUCUGGCCAGCUCUAGGUCGAUGUAUACUAAAGCUUAAGAUCCGUUCUGAUUUCGCUCUCAGUUGCGGUUCUACGGUGGUUUUGGCAAAGCUCCGAUGGUGGUUUAUAGACAUGGUUCACGGUAUAUACUGAAGGAUUUGGUCCGCAAGUCAAUUAAGGAGACCGCAGUGAGUCUGAAGGCCCUUAAUAUGGUUGGGAUCCGAAACCGAAUGUUCGGUUAAAGGUUGCCACAAGAGACUGCGCAUCGUUCAUACCAUAGAGUUCAGUGAUGGGGGUUCAGAUAUCCAGAUCUUGAGGGUUACUGUUUACAAAGAGAAAUGGGUUAGUACUGCUCAUCUUGCUGACAAAAGGUUUUGAGGGAUGGCGGAUGGAGUGAACAAGAAGCUGCUAUACUGGCUCUCGGAGAUAUCAUCAGUAUCAAACUUGGUGAUAUCGUUCCUCCUGCUCAUGCGCGUCUUCUUGAAGGUGAUGCCUUAAAGUUCGACC